GACGAACGCUGGCGGCGUGCUUAACACAUGCAAGUCGAACGGAAAGGCCCUGCUUGCAGGGUACUCGAGUGGCGAACGGGUGAGUAACACGUGGGUGAUCUGCCCUGCACUUCGGGAUAAGCCUGGGAAACUGGGUCUAAUACCGGAUAGGAGCCAUUUUUAGUGUGAUGGUUGGAAAGUUUUUUCGGUGUAGGAUGAGCUCGCGGCCUAUCAGCUUGUUGGUGGGGUAAUGGCCUACCAAGGCGGCGACGGGUAGCCGGCCUGAGAGGGUGGACGGCCACAUUGGGACUGAGAGACGGCCCAGACUCCGACGGGAGGCAGCAGUGGGGAAUAUUGCACAAUGGGCGCAAGCCGGAUGCAGCGACGCCGCGUGGGGGAUGACGGCCUUCGGGUUGUAAACUCCUUUCGCUAGGGACGAAGCUUUUUGUGACGGUACCUAGAUAAGAAGCACCGGCUAACUACGUG
rnacentral:rRNA from 1 species